rnacentral:rRNA from 1 species
AUGAAAGGGAACCCGCUCAGGCGACUCGGACGGAGCCCCAAAUCCGGCAGGAUCGCCAUACCUCCUAUCCUCCCCUUUUGUCGCCGCUCGAGGAAGCCGCCGGGUGAAGCCCUGUCGGCUGAUUGGGUGGUGCGGGCACCCAAGGGCGCGGGGGCACAUCCCUCGGAUGUAGGUCACGGCGGAGUGAGGCGGUGGUGUGGUGGUGGGUGGAUGCGGCGGAGCUGCAGGGGCGCUGUGGGAGGGUUGGUGGUGCGGCUGUGCUGGUGUCGCGCAGGGCCCAGCGGGGGCCGGGUGGUUCCAGAUCGGGGGGUGGGCGCCUUCGUGGUCUCCGGUCAGAUCCUCUCGGAUCUGGCCCCUAGGCGUCGGUGUGCGGCGCGGGGUGUUGGCAGCAGCCAUGUUGGCAACUGCGUGGGUGUAGGCUGCAAUGACGUGGUGGCAGUCCAUGGUGGUGGUGCGGGUCGGUUCGCGGCGGCUGCAGGACAUGCUCCGGCAUCUGGCCGUUGGCGAGCUACUCUUGUGGAGGUCCCUGGGUCCUCUUGCGGCAACAGGGUGUGGCGGUUCGGGCACCUCACGUCGCUGGGCGUGUGGCCGGUCCCUGCCAGAUGCAGAUCUAGGCCGGGAGUCGAGGUUGGGUGUCGUAGGAGGGUGACGUCUGGGAGAGGUGGUGGGAGUGGUGGGUGGCGCCGAUGCGGUCGGGCCACCCGUCACCGACAGGGGUGCCGGUCAUCGACAUGGUCCGCUCCCGCUUCACCUCUUCUUCGAUCUGGUGGCUCCCUGAUAGAUCUGGUUGUUCUAGUCGCUGGCGGCUUUGUCGGCGGUCGGAGAUUGCCAAUCGGCACAUUGUCAUUGUUCACAGCCAUGGAGGGCCUAUGGGGUGUCUUGUUCCCCGGGCGGCGGCCCGGGUGGUGGGAGCUGCGGUGCUGGUGGGCUGAGCUCGCGGCUUAG